GGAUGAACGCUGGCGGCGUGCCUAAUACAUGCAAGUCGAGCGAACGGACGAGAAGCUUGCUUCUCUGAUGUUAGCGGCGGACGGGUGAGUAACACGUGGAUAACCUACCUAUAAGACUGGGAUAACUUCGGGAAACCGGAGCUAAUACCGGAUAAUAUUUUGAACCGCAUGGUUCAAAAGUGAAAGACGGUCUUGCUGUCACUUAUAGAUGGAUCCGCGCUGCAUUAGCUAGUUGGUAAGGUAACGGCUUACCAAGGCAACGAUGCAUAGCCGACCUGAGAGGGUGAUCGGCCACACUGGAACUGAGACACGGUCCAGACUCCUACGGGAGGCAGCAGUAGAGAAUCUUCCGCAAUGGGCGAAAGCCUGACGGAGCAACGCCGCGUGAGUGAUGAAGGUCUUCGGAUCGUAAAACUCUGUUAUUAGGGAAGAACAUAUGUGUAAGUAACUGUGCACAUCUUGACGGUACCUAAUCAGAAAGCCACGGCUAACUACGUG
rnacentral:rRNA from 1 species